rnacentral:rRNA from 1 species
AUUGAACGCUGGCGGCAGGCUUAACACAUGCAAGUCGAACGAGUGGCGGACGGGUGAGUAAUGUCUGGGAAACUGCCUGAUGGAGGGGGAUAACUACUGGAAACGGUAGCUAAUACCGCAUACCAUCGGAUGUGCCCAUAUGGGAUUAGCUAGUAGGUGGGGUAAAGGCUCACCUAGGCGACGAUCCCUAGCUGGUCUGAGAGGAUGAUCAGCCACACGGGAACUGAGACACGGCCCAGACUCCUACGGGAGGCAGCAGUGGGGAAUCUUGCACAAUGGGCGCAAGCCUGAUGCAGCAAUGCCGCGUGUAUGAAGAAGGUUUUCGGGUUGUAAAGUACUUUCAGUGGGGAGGCGUUAUCUAACGAAGAAGCACCGGCUAACUCCGUGCCAGCAGCCGCGGUAAUAC